AUGCCUAACCACAUGUAUAAUCUAUUUGCAUACACAUCAAACAGACAUAACCCCACCAUACACGCCACUAUGGGUUUCUUCACUGUACCCAAACCAAGAGAUGUAUUGCGUCGCUCAUUUAAGUACAGAGCCAUGUCAUCUGCCACCAGAGAUUACUCAGUCAAAAAAAGCUGUGGUGUGUUCAGUGGUCCAAGUUGUCAGCACCCCACCAGAUCAGGCCUGGCCCUGCUGUCCCCAUGCUGAGUCUGGGCAGACAGACAGAGCCAUGGAGCGAGAUCAGACAUGAGUGACAGCUGGACUGGACCCCACCCAUUACCAUCCCCACCACUCUCUGACGGUUGGUCACCUGGAAGUUAGUUAACACCCCCGAAGUAGGAUUUGGGGUUUGAUUCAGGGUGCUUGGCCAGUUACAGUUACCCUGCACAAAAGUAGUAGAGAUUCAACUCUGAGUCAUGCUACCAAUGCCCACUGGCUUUUUGUCAAUAUACUACAUUGUUUAGUCAGAGGUCAGACUAGGCUAUGGAGAAUCUCUGACUGAAAACCUCAAGCGUGAUUGAAAUACCCACUGUCCGCGUUUAAUUUGAAUGGAAGAGAGAUGUAUCUUUCCUGCAUUACUUUCUUUACCCUCCUGCAUUUGCAGUAACUGUGUGUGUUGUGACGCUACUUUGUCCUGUUCACCGGUCUUGGUGUAUGGCUGGAGUAGUAGCAGCCAGUGGACAGGAUUUCCACUAGAUGCCCAAGCUGCAAAGUCAAAAUUGUCUUUAUUGUAAAAAUGUAUGGAACCAAAAAUGUGCUUUUUCGUCUUAUUUUAAGGUUAGGGUUAGGCAUAAGAUUAGCAGUGUGGUUGAGGUUAGUGUUAGGUUUCAAAUCUGAUUUUAAGAAGAGAAGUUGUAGAACUAGGCGGGGCUUACGACUUUGAAACUUGGCCAGAUAGUGACGACCAGAGGACAGCGAGGUCAUCCAUCUCUCUCUCUCUCUCUCUCUCUCUCUCUGUAGUUCUGCAGCCCAGAUCCUAACCUUAAUCCUGUGGCCUCACAAACUCACACAGAGAGAUCCGGAGAAGUGGGGGGGGGGGUUGGUGACAUGCCACCUGGCUGUCCGGACACUGCCAGACCCACUGUGAGUGUGUGUAUGUGUGUGUGCCAGGCCGACAGUCACCAGAUGGCGGUGCCAGCGUGGCACGGGCAUCAGGCGCAAGUGGCGGUUGGAGAAGUGAGAAAAAGAUGACAGGGCAAGGGGGGAGGUAGGUUGGGUGCCUGCGGUCGAUGCCAGUGUGUGUGUGUGUGUGUGUGUGUAUGUGUGCAGACAGACAGGGUGGAGACAGACAAACAUCAAGUGGGAAUGGGGGAAGGACGGUGUGGCUGUAGACUGUGUGUGUUUGUAAAGGACCUCUUUGUUUUGUGCCGUGUUGGUCUUUAUGAGGGAAGACAUGGAAAAAUAUAUUUCUGUCUGUGUUGCUAAAAGUGCAAUGUUGAGAAAAAAACGAUGUUUUAUAUUCUUGUUUUGAGGAUCUUUAUAGCAAUCAUUUCUAGCGGAUUUUCUCUCAAACAAUAGUAGUUGUUCACACUAGAGGUCGACCUAUUAUGAUUUUUCAACGCCGAUACCGAUACCGAUUAUUGGAGGGCCAAAAACCCGAUGCCGAUUAAUCGGCCGAUUUUUACAUUUUAUUUAUUUUUAUUUAUUUGUAAUAUUGACAAUUACAACAAUACUGAAUGAACACUUAUUUUAACUUAAUAUAAUACAUCAAUAAAAUCAAUUUAGCCUCAAAUAAAUAAUGAAACAUGUUCAAUUUGGUUUAAAUAAUGCAAAAACAAAGUGUUGGAGAAGAAAGUUAAAGUGCAAUAUGUGCCAUGUAAGAAAGCUAACGUUUAAGUUCCUUGCUCAGAACAUGAGAACAUAUGAAAGCUGGUGGUUCCUUUUAACAUGAGUCUUCAAUAUUCCCAGGUAAGAAGUUUUAGGUUGUAGUUAUUAUAGGAAUUAUAGGACUAUUUCUCUCUAUACGAUUUGUAUUUCAUAUACCUUUGACUAUAGGAUGUUCUUAUAGGCACUUUAGUAUUGCCAGUGUAACAGUAUAGCUUCCGCCCCUCUCCUCGCUCCUACCUGGGCUCGAACCAGGAAC
rnacentral:lncRNA from 8 species